CAAAGCACAGCCAUCGGACACAGGGAGGCUGCGCUCGGUGCCUUCCUGUGAUGAAGUCAGGCCGGCGAGAAUGU
rnacentral:snoRNA from 1 species